rnacentral:rRNA from 2 species
CAAUGGACGAAAGUCUGAUGGAGCAACGCCGCGUGAGUGAAGAAGGGUUUCGGCUCGUAAAACUCUGUUGUUAAAGAAGAACAUAUCUGAGAGUAACUGUUCAGGUAUUGACGGUAUUUAACCAGAAAGCCACGGCUAACUACGUGCCAGCAGCCGCGGUAAUACGUAGGUGGCAAGCGUUGUCCGGAUUUAUUGGGCGUAAAGCGAGCGCAGGCGGUUUUUUAAGUCUGAUGUGAAAGCCUUCGGCUCAACCGAAGAAGUGCAUCGGAAACUGGGAAACUUGAGUGCAGAAGAGGACAGUGGAACUCCAUGUGUAGCGGUGAAAUGCGUAGAUAUAUGGAAGAACACCAGUGGCGAAGGCGGCUGUCUGGUCUGUAACUGACGCUGAGGCUCGAAAGUAUGGGUAGCAAACAGGAUUAGAUACCCUGGUAGUCCAUACCGUAAACGAUGAAUGCUAAGUGUUGGAGGGUUUCCGCCCUUCAGUGCUGCAGCUAACGCAUUAAGCAUUCCGCCUGGGGAGUACGGCCGCAAGGCUGAAACUCAAAGGAAUUGACGGGGGCCCGCACAAGCGGUGGAGCAUGUGGUUUAAUUCGAAGCUACGCGAAGAACCUUACCAGGUCUUGACAUACUAUGCAAAUCUAAGAGAUUAGACGUUCCCUUCGGGGACAUGGAUACAGGUGGUGCAUGGUUGUCGUCAGCUCGUGUCGUGAGAUGUUGGGUUAAGUCCCGCAACGAGCGCAACCCUUAUUAUCAGUUGCCAGCAUUAAGUUGGGCACUCUGGUGAGACUGCCGGUGACAAACCGGAGGAAGGUGGGGAUGACGUCAAAUCAUCAUGCCCCUUAUGACCUGGCUACACAC